rnacentral:sRNA from 1 species
UUUUUGCGUUAAGGAUAGUAGUGGCAUCCUUUUUUUUGCUGCCAUAUAUGGCAAAAAAAAGAUAUAACGGAUAGCCUGACCUUUA